UACAGAGGUCUCAAGCGUUGUUCGGAUUCAUUGGGCGUAAAGGGUGCGUAGGCGGCGGGGCAAGUCGGAUGUGAAAUCUCAGGGCUCAACCCUGAAACUGCAUUCGAUACUGCCGUGCUUGAGGACUGGAGAGGAGACUGGAAUUUACGGUGUAGCGGUGAAAUGCGUAGAUAUCGUAAGGAAGACCAGUGGCGAAGGCGGGUCUCUGGACAGUUCCUGACGCUGAGGCACGAAGGCCAGGGGAGCAAACGGG
rnacentral:rRNA from 1 species